rnacentral:rRNA from 1 species
CGUGUAGGUGGAUCUGCAAGUCAAAUGUGAAAACCGGCGGCUUAACCACCGGCCUGCAUUUGAAACUGUGGAUCUUGAGUACGGAAGAGGAAAGCGGAAUUCCUGGUGUAGCGGUGAAAUGCGUAGAUAUCAGGAGGAACACCGGUGGCGAAGGCGGCUUUCUGGUCCGAUACUGACACUGAGGCGCGAAGGCCGGGGGAGCAAACA